rnacentral:lncRNA from 1 species
UCUCCAAGACAGCCGUAAACUCCCUGUGUGCAGAGGAUGACUUGCGACUCCCGAUCCUCCGUGCUUUCCCAUCCCAAGUGCUGGGAUUAAAGGCCUGUACCACAUCCACUGGCUUUAAAGGAGUCAUUUCCAAUGGUGAAAACUGUGUCGAUGCCUCUGGGAGAGCCUUCUGCUGAGAGGAGAAAGACCUUGUUGGAGGAGGAAGGACCCUGUUCCCCAUCACUUCUAGGGAUGGCUGCUUCAGUAACCAUCCAUGUCUGUGUGUGGAUUGGCAUUUCUGUGAGGAUGUGAGGGAUCCUGGGGAUUCACCCCAGGGGCCAUCAUGGGGAAGAAUUCGAUAAGAUAUUCAGGAAAAAAAAAAAUCUGAGUAAAGUGUACCAUCUACUUUAAAGGACACCCAAUUUCACUCUCAACACACCCUAUUGGCUGUAACUGUUCUUCAGGACCAGAUCUAACUGGAAGAGACCUUGAAAAGAAGAUAGGAGGAAACACACAAACACCUGAACCGCCAGAAACUAUUACUGGGGAAGAGAAAAAGGAGGUUACUAGAGAAAAAUAUGCAACCUUUGUUCCUGGAACCAGGCAUCUAACUUUCUAUCCUAGAAAGAUAGAUAACCUAUUCUGUCCCUCCAGGGGGUGGGUGUGGCAGUCAGAAAGCUAGAACUCAGUAAUUUUAGGAUGAAGAUCUCAUAAAACCCUGCUGUGGGCCAGUGGGUGAUCAAAUGAUAUGUUUACAUUUUUAUUUUCAGAUU